UGAGUACAAGAUGCUACGGCAUUGAAGCAGUCUAUGUCAUACUUCCAAGAAAAGCUUGCAAUGUCAUAAACAAAUAAUGCCUGUACCAUAACCGACACAGGUGGGUAGGUAGAGUAUACUAAGGGGCGCGAGAUAACUCUCUCUAAGGAACUCGGCAAAAUGACUCCGUAACUUCGGGAGAAGGAGUACCUUAUUUUAUAAGGUUGCAAUAACAAGGUCCAAGCAACUAUUUACCAAAAACACAGGUCUCCGCUAAGUCGUAAGACGAUGUAUGGGGGCUGACGCCUGCCCAGUGCCAGAAGGUUAAAGAAGUUGGUUAGCAUUAGCGAAGCUGAUAACUGAAGCCCUGGUGAACGGCGGCCGUAACGAUAACGGUCCUAAGGUAGCGAAAUUCCUUGUCGGGUAAGUUCCGACCCGCACGAAAGGCGUAAUGAUUUGGAUACUGUCUCGGAGAGGGGCUCGGUGAAAUAGACUUGUCUGUGAAGAUGCGGACUACCUGCACCUGGACAGAAAGACCCUAUGAAGCUUUACUGUAACUUGAGAUUGAAAUUGGACUUUAUUUGCGCAGUAUAGGUGGGAGACCUCGAAAGUAUUCUUGCGGGAAUAUUGGAGUCAUCAGUGAGAUACCACUCUUAUAAUGUUAGAUUUCUAACUUUGUAUCAUUAUCUGGUCAAAGAACAGUUUCAGGCGGGCAGUUUGACUGGGGCGGUCGCCUCCCAAAUGGUAACGGAGGCGCACAAAGGUUUCCUCUGAACGUGUAGAAAUCGUAUCUAGAGUGUAAAGGCAUAAGGAAGCUUGACUGUGAGACCUACAAGUCGAGCAGGGACGAAAGUCGGUCUUAGUGAUCUGACGGUGCUGAGUGGAAAGGCCGUCACUCAACGGAUAAAAGUUACUCUAGGAUAACAGGCUGAUCUCCCCCAAGAGUUCACAUCGACGGGGAGGUUUGGCACCUCGAUGUCGGCUCAUCGCAUCCUGGGGCGGUAGUACGUCCCAAGGGUUGGGCUGUUCGCCCAUGAAAGCGGUACGCGAGCUGGGUUCAGAACGUCGUGAGACAGUUCGGUCCAUAUCCGGUGUAGGCGUUAGAAUAUUGAGAGGAGCCUUCUUUAGUACGAGAGGACCGAGAAGGACAUACCUCUGGUGUACCAGUUAUCGUGCCAACGGUAAACGCUGGGUAGCUAUGUAUGGAGAGGAUAACCGCUGAAAGCAUCUAAGUGGGAAGCCCACCUCAAGAUAAGUAUUCAC
rnacentral:rRNA from 1 species